UACGGGAGGCAGCAGUGGGGAAUAUUGCACAAUGGGCGAAAGCCUGAUGCAGCUAUGCCGCGUGUAUGAAGAAGGCCUUAGGGUUGUAAAGUACUUUCAUCGGGGAGGAAAAACAAAACUAAUAAUUUUAUUUCUUGACGUUACCCGAAAAAGAAGCACCGGCUAACUCCGUGCCAGCAGCCGCGGUAAUACGGAGGGUGCUAGCGUUAAUCAGAAUUACUGGGCGUAAAGAGCACGUAGGUGGUUUUUUUAAGUCAGAUGUGAAAUCCCUGGGCUUAACCUGGAACUGCAUUUUGAAACUGAAAUACUAGAGUAUCGUAGAGGGAGGUAGAAUUCUAGGUGUAGCGGUGAAAUGCGUAGAUAUCUGGAGGAAUACCUGUGGCGAAAGCGGCCUCCUAAACGAAUACUGACACUGAGGUGCGAAAGCGUGGGGAGCGAAACAGGGAUUAGGAU
rnacentral:rRNA from 1 species